GUCAUCCCUUUCCCCAUCCGUGUCCUUCCUGGAGACCGAUCCCGAGCCAAGUUCGAUCGAUUUGAUCCAUCUAUCGCCCCUCGACCCCUGAAUCCACCUAUAUGUAUUUUUCCUUCGUCUCAUCUUGCAAUUUUCGCAAAACGGAAUUCUCCCGUGCCCUAGAACGCUGCAGCAAUCUCGCCGGAGUUCGCUGCAAGAGCUCCUGUCGCCGGUCAAGCUCGUCGCUGCCGGAAGAAUCCAACCGAGCGCUUCGACCUCGCCCGACGAACACCCCAUCGCCGAGGUCCAGCCACCCUUUGCCGCCAUCCCCGCUCGCCACCGACGCGGGUGAGGACGUUUUCGACCCCGCAGAAGAGCACCUCAUCCCGUACGCUACCCAUCGGAGUAUGGGGACCGCCGUAGCCAUCUCCAACGUCGUCCGAAGCCUCGCCGUGCGCCGUCUUCUUCAAGUCCGGCGACCACCCUGCCCUGUCUCCGAUUGUUCGGAGUGUGAAGCGGAUCGGAAUUAAGCGUUCGAGUACUUCAACACCGUUCAAGGCAAG